rnacentral:rRNA from 1 species
ACACCUAACAGCUAGCCUUAACACUAGAAAAACGCUAUAAAAUUAAACAAAACUUGUAGUAUACUAAGUAAACCAUUUUAACCCUUAGUCUGGGCGACAAAAAAGGAAAAUAAGAGCGAUAGAGGCAGUACCGUGAGGGAAAGCUGAAAUAGAAAUUAAAUAAACCAUCUAAGUAAAAAAAAGUAGAGCUAAUCUCUCGUACCUUUUGCAUCAUGAUUUAGCAAGCAAAAUGCAAGCAAAAAGGUUUAUAGUUUGCAACCCCGAAACUGGGCGAGCUACUCCGAGCCAGCCCGUAAAUGUAAAUUAAAGGGGGCCAACCCGUCUCUGUGGCAAAAGAGUGGGAAGAGCUCCGAGUAGAGGUGACAAAUCUAUCGAGCCCAGUAAUAGCUGGUUGCCUGAGAAAUGAAUAGGAGUUCAGCCCUUUAGACUUUCCCACAUCACAAAUGCUCCCGCUAAUAAUAGAUAAAGGAAAAUAAAGGAGUUAUCAAAAGGGGGACAGCCCUUUUGAUAUAAGAAACAACUUUAAUAGGUGGCCCAAGAUCAUA